rnacentral:rRNA from 1 species
UACGUAGGGCGCAAGCGUUGUCCGGAAUUAUUGGGCGUAAAGAGCUCGUAGGCGGCUUGUCACGUCGGAUGUGAAAGCCCGGGGCUUAACUCCGGGUCUGCAUUCGAUACGGGCUGGCUAGAGUGUGGUAGGGGAGAUCGGAAUUCCUGGUGUAGCGGUGAAAUGCGCAGAUAUCAGGAGGAACACCGGUGGCGAAGGCGGAUCUCUGGGCCAGUACUGACGCUGAGGAGCGAAAGCGUGGGGAGCGAACAGG